AGUAAUGUUUAUCGAGAGUUAUAUAAUAAAAUGCAGAUUGCAUCGAUGCUUUAUCGGCCGCUGCCGGGUCGCUACACGCUGGUGCGCGCAAUGGAACACUGUAAAAUAGAUCCAUUUAGUAUUUUGUCAUGAUUGUCACCUUCUCUCUGGCACUGCACCGUUUGCACGUCUCGCGUUAACAACGUCUGUGGUCCUUUUUUUAAUUAUUGUUUAACAAAUUUAUAAUAUUUUAUCGUGUGCCGUGUUUUUAUAUAAUUUUUGGUUUUACGGGCGCUAAUCGUCACUCAUUAAUCGUUAUUUUGUUUUUAAUAUUGGUUAUAUUGUUGUGUAUGCGCUAAUCGCCACAUUUUCUACUUUAUAUACGUGUGCGCGAAUUACCACGUUCGUAUUAUAUUAUUAUAUUUUAUAUCGUUGUAAUUAUAAUAUAUUUAUUGUGAGUAAAUUGCACUUAGUGUAAAGGCAUAGGUAGCAGCUGCAGGCCAUCAGUACGCCGACAAAGUCGUAUCAGCAGUACCUAUCUGUAUGGCACGUAUGACGACGACGGUGAUACACUCAUCCCAGCAGAACAGGUGUAACGUGUGUACGGUCAACGGCGUUUAGCUGUUCGAGUCCAAAUCGUAUCCGCCGGCAGCACCAUCACCGCGGCGGUGUCCUCUGGUGUCAGUCACCAGUAUGCUGUACCCGAAUCCGUUCGACUACUCUGUCCAGUUGUCCCUGCAAUUCUCGCUGUCAGCUGCUACGGCCCCGCCGCCACUCACGAACGCAAAGGGAUCGUGCAUAUGGAAUCCCAGCCUCAUACCGCCCGCCACGGCGAGCCCGUCAACGUCCAACAUGGGCGUUCCACCAGCCGAUACCACACAGGCAUUGUUGACACGCUCUUUGAGCAACGUCUCCGCGCGAAACGACUACAUUUUCACUGAUGGCGGUGUUAACGUGACGGACAAAACCUAGGACGACGGUAAACGAAUGAGUAAUGAACCGCGAACUAGGCCAACACUACAUGAAUUACUUAUCACCUACGGUCCUUGCGCACACCUUUUCGGUCACGGCAUUCGGUAUCCAUAGCAAUGAACACACCCAGCCGCAACGAACGGAUCGAUGGAGCUCUUUGCAAGUGGUUCCAGCUACACACUUAGCCGGUGCCAACACCACAAUAUAUUCUCGUGUUAAUAAUAAUAAUAAUAAUAAUAAUAAUAACAGUUAUAUACCAUUAUUCCUUAUAGCUGUACAUAUUAACUACUAUUAUUUUUUAUUAUCUCAACUGGGCCUGCUGAAAAGUAUACGCCCAACUUCCUCGAGGAUAACUAAACAAUUAUUUAUGUAUAAGAAACAUAAGCGCCUAUUCCAGUCGAUCUUCUGUCUACUGCUUACCUCAAGUAUGGCAUAUCCAAUUCAACAGUUCCAUGGUUAUGUCCACCAGGCCAAAGAACUAAAUUAUUUCCCUCAUAAUUUAUGUUUAUAAUUGCUGUACUUAACUGGACAAUAUUAUUCCACUUUUUUAUUUCUUUGUUUUUCACAAAUCAAGUACCUACCUUAUGAAUAAAAUAUAACUAUUAAAACAUACAAAAUAUAAAGGAUUAGUUUAAUAAACUAACAUUUUAU